rnacentral:rRNA from 1 species
UCAGGAUGAACGCUAGCUACAGGCUUAACACAUGCAAGUCGAGGGGCAGCAUUGAGAUAGCUUGCUAUUCAGAUGGCGACCGGCGCACGGGUGAGUAACGCGUAUCCAACCUGGCCCGUAGUAGGGAACAGCCCGGCGAAAGUCGGAUUAAUGCCCUAUGUUCUCCGACGAAGACAUCUGAGUUGGAGCAAAGAUUCAUCGCUACGGGAUGGGGGAUGCGUCUGAUUAGGUAGUAGGCGGGGUAACGGCCCACCUAGCCAACGAUCAGUAGGGUUCUGAGAGGAAGGUCCCCCACAUUGGUACUGAGACACGGACCAAACUCCUACGGGAGGCAGCAGUGAGGAAUAUUGGUCAAUGGGCGAGAGCCUGAACCAGCCAAGUAGCGUGCAGGACGACUGCCCUGUGGGUUGUAAACUGCUUUUAUAGGGGAAUAAAGUGAGGUAUGCAUACCUUUUUGUAUGUACCCUAUGAAUAAGGACCGGCUAAUUCCGUGCCAGCCGCCGC